rnacentral:rRNA from 1 species
UAUUACCCACUUCCAAAAGUCUUUACUCUCAUCCUCAGUAACCUUCAUAAAAACAGAUACAAAAACAGGGUUGAUUACUAAAGCAACAAAUAAAGAAGAACUCAAUACAACAAUAAGGGUUAAGGGCAAAUAGAACAUGAACUCGCCCAUCAUUCCUGGCCAUAAGGCCAAUGGUAAAAAUGCAGCCAGAGUAGUUGCUGUAGAUGAUAUUAUGGGCCAAGCAAUUUCUCCUACCCCUUCUUUAGCUGCCUGUAUUGGUGUAUACCCUUCAUCCAUUAAACGAUAUACAUUCUCAACAACCACAAUUCCAUUAUCUACCAACAUUCCAAGUGCCAUGAUCAAACCAAAAAGCACCAUCAUGUUAAUUGUUACUCCUAAAGCACUCAAUAUCAAGAACGAA